GGAUAGCACUAGCACAAACCCAUCUAAUCUCGGGUCUGAUAUUCCCCUCGAGGUUGCAAAGCCAGAUAUAUCCCACCAUGAUUCAAUGGAAUACUUGUGUGAACUCAAGAUAUACAUAUAUCCUCAAGCUUUGCAAUCUGAAGGUGCAUAUCAAACCCGAGUCUAGAUGGGUCUGUGUUAGUGUCCAUAUUC
rnacentral:pre_miRNA from 1 species